GACGAACGCUGGCGGCGUGCUUAACACAUGCAAGUCGGACGGAAAGGCCCUGCUUUUGUGGGGUGCUCGAGUGGCGAACGGGUGAGUAACACGUGAGUAACCUGCCCUUGACUUUGGGAUAACUUCAGGAAACUGGGGCUAAUACCGGAUAGGAGCUCCUGCUGCAUGGUGGGGGUUGGAAAGUUUCGGCGGUUGGGGAUGGACUCGCGGCUUAUCAGCUUGUUGGUGGGGUAGUGGCUUACCAAGGCUUUGACGGGUAGCCGGCCUGAGAGGGUGACCGGCGACAUUGGGACUGAGAUACGGCCCAGAGUCCUACGGGAGGCAGCAGUGGGGAAUAUUGCACAAUGGGCGGAAGCCUGAUGCAGCAACGCCGCGUGCGGGAUGACGGCCUUCGGGUUGUAAACCGCUUUCGCCUGUGACGAAGCGUGAGUGACGGUAAUGGGUAAAGAAGCACCGGCUAACUACGUG
rnacentral:rRNA from 1 species